rnacentral:rRNA from 1 species
ACUCAAAGGAAUUGACGGGGGCCCGCACAAGCAGCGGAGCAUGUGGAUUAAUUCGAUGCAACGCGAAGAACCUUACCAGGUCUUGACAUCCUAUGAGAACUGUAGAAAUGCAGUUGGCCUUCGGGACAUAGAGACAGGUGGUGCAUGGUUGUCGUCAGCUCGUGUCGUGAGAUGUUGGGUUAAGUCCCGCAACGAGCGCAACCCCUACGGUCAGUUGCCAACGGGUAGAGCCGGGCACUCUGGCAGGACAGCCGUGGGUAACACGGAGGAAGGUGGGGACGACGUCAAAUCAUCAUGCCCCUUACGAUCUGGGCUUCACACGUGCUACAAUGGCCGCAACAAAGAGAUACGAAGUCGCGAGGCGGAGUGGAUCACAAAAAAGCGGUCUCAGUUCAGAUUGUGGGCUGCAACCCGCCCACAUGAAGACGGAGUUGCUAGUAAUCGCGAAUCAGAAUGUCGCGGUGAAUACGUUCCCGGGCCUUGUACACACCGCCCGU